UGGACCGAUUUAUAUUGACAAAUGACAAUUUUUGACGGAAACAAAUCAAAUUGAAAAAAUUUAAGUUAUGAAACUAAUUUUCAAUAAUGACUUGUGAACUUAUACAAUUACUUUAUAGAACAGUUAGAAACACCUUAUGGACAUAUAAAAGUAUAUUGUGAUGUGAAACAGACUUGGAAACACUGCUUACGAUGAAGAUAGUGAUAUUCCAUCUCAAAGUUGGCUCUGCAUAAGUCGCAACGUAAAAAAAUUUGAAAAGCAAUCUCCCGCCAAGUGAGUGAUUCUAACCUCACCAAUAAUAUUGUCUAUAAUAAUUUCAAAGGCAAUUGGCAUCAAAG